rnacentral:tRNA from 1 species
AAAUAAGAAGCAAUUAAUGCAUUUAAUUUCGACUUAAAAAAUAGAGAUUUAAUUCUCCUUAUUUA